GGCUGGGGAGGCCUCAGAAAACUUACAAUCAUGGCAGAAGGUGAAGGGGAAGCCAGCACAUCUUCAUAUGAUGGCAGGAACUUUAUAUGUUAUAGAAGUUAGCCCCAAGAAUGAAAUCGUGUCCUUUGCCAAAACAUGGAUGGAGCUAGAGGCCUUUAUCCUAAGUGAGUUAACGCAGGAACAGAAAGCCAAAUAGUGCAUGUUCUCACUGAUAAGUGGGAGCUAAACUAUGGGUUCACAAAGGCAUGCAGAGUGGUACUGUGGACAUUGGAGACUCAGAAUGGGGGAGGCUAGGAGGGAGGUAAGGGAUGAAAAAGUACCUGUUGGGUACAAUGUACACUACUUGGGUGACGAUGGGUCCACUAAAAUCCCAGAUUUAACCACUGUACAAUUCAUCCAUGUAACCAAAACCCACCUGUACCCCAAUGCUAUGAAAAUAAAUAAAACCAA
rnacentral:lncRNA from 1 species